UACUUUGGCACUGUGUCUAAAUCCCAUGC
rnacentral:piRNA from 1 species